rnacentral:rRNA from 1 species
CUACGGGAGGCAGCAGUAGGGAAUAUUAGUUAAUGUGCGAAAGCGCGAACUAGCAACGCCGCGUGCGCGAUGAAGGUCUUCGGAUCGUAAAGCGCUUUUUGGAGGGAUGAGGAAGGACAGUACCUCCAGAAUAAGUCUCGGCUAACUACGUGCCAGCAGCCGCGGUAAAACGUAGGAGGCAAGCGUUAUCCGGAUUUACUGGGCGUAAAGCGCGUGCAGGCGGCUCGGAAAGUGGGAUGUGAAAGCUCCCGGCUCAACUGGGAGAGGUCGUUCCAGACUUCCGGGCUAGAGGAUGGUAGAGGGAGGUGGAAUUCCGGGUGUAGUGGUGAAAUGCGUAGAUAUCCGGAGGAACACCAGUGGCGAAAGCGGCCUCCUGGACCAUUUCUGACGCUCAGACACGAAAGCUAGGGUAGCAAACGGGAUUAGAUACCCCGGUAGU